rnacentral:rRNA from 1 species
UGGGGAAUAUUGGACAAUGGGCGAAAGCCUGAUCCAGCAAUGCCGCGUGAGUGAUGAAGGCCUUAGGGUUGUAAAGCUCUUUUACCAGGGAUGAUAAUGACAGUACCUGGAGAAUAAGCUCCGGCUAACUCCGUGCCAGCAGCCGCGGUAAUACGGAGGGAGCUAGCGUUGUUCGGAAUUACUGGGCGUAAAGCGUGCGUAGGCGGCUAUUCAAGUCAGAGGUGAAAGCCUGGAGCUCAACUCCAGAACUGCCUUUGAAACUAGAUAGCUAGAAUCUUGGAGAGGUGAGUGGAAUUCCGAGUGUAGAGGUGAAAUUCGUAGAUAUUCGGAAGAACACCAGUGGCGAAGGCGACUCACUGGACAAGUAUUGACGUUGAGGUACGAAAGCGUGGGGAGCAAACAGGAUUAGAUACCCUGGUAGUCCACGCCGUAAACGAUGAUAACUAGCUGUCCGGGCUCUCAGAGCUUGGGUGGCGCAGCUAACGCAUUAAGUAUCCGCCUG